GUGAUUAAUGCUUCCUCUCGUCCUCUUCAGAAUGUCCUGUGGAAGGGAGAUGCAAAUAUCCCUAUAUGAAUCAUAGAACAGAGUCAUAGAGCUAGAAGAGACCACAAGGGCCAUCCAGUCCAACCCCAUGAAAAAAUACACAAAGCGUUCCCAAAAGAUGGUCAUACAGCCUUUCCUCAAAAGCAUCCAAAGAAGUUACAGUUCCAAGGAAGAUUCAACUAGAAGUUUGGAAAGAGAAAACAGGAGGAUCUUUGCACUUCCUAUCCACGUUGUGCAUUGAGGAAUCCUUCCUAAGGGACUGUGCCCUGGAUUCAAACUGGAGAUCGUUGCAGCUUUUCCAAAGAGAAUUAAUGAAGUGCUGUAACUCAGCUGCACAACCAAGACAUCAACUUGGCAAACAUUGCUAAAGCUCUGUGUAUCCUUGGUGACUGUCAUUCAAAGCUGGGGUAUGUUUUGUGAUACAUUUGCGAUUCAGCAAGGAAAAUUCUCCACCAAGACUGUGAAACAAUAGAAAUGACACUUAUUAGCAAUCUCUCCAUCGGAACAAAAUGAAGGAAAACAAAGGCUUAGCUGUCGUGGGGCCAUCAACUGUUUCAAGAAUAUGUGAUGAGCAGUUUUCUGCUGUUUCUCUCAUUGAUGAUUAAAUGAAAAUAAAUUUUCAUCUUAUUGAAAUAAUUGUGCAUUUUUGAGGUAUUGACGAAAGAUAAGCAAGAGUCUUGUGGCUUUAUGAAAGCUGAAAAAAUAUAUUACGCCGUAAGAGUUUGUGAACCAAUCUCUGUUUCGUCAGAUAGAAUUGUA
rnacentral:lncRNA from 11 species